rnacentral:tRNA from 3 species
GCGGAUGUGGCGGAAUUGGCAGACGCGCAGGCUUCAGGUGCCUGUGGGGGCAACCCCGUGGAGGUUCGACUCCUCUCAUCCGCA